rnacentral:rRNA from 1 species
UACGUAGGGGGCGAGCGUUGUCCGGAGUUACUGGGCGUAAAGCGCACGCAGGCGGUCUGCUAAGUUUGGAGUGACAGUUGGUGGCUUAACUGCCAAAGUGCUUCGAAAACUGACAGACUUGAGGGCUUCAGAGGGACACGGAAUUCCGGGUGGAGUGGUGAAAUGCGGAGAGAUCCGGAGGAACACCAAAGGCGAAGGCAGUGUCCUGGGGAGUACCUGACGCUCAGGUGCGAAAGCCAGGGGAGCGAACGGG